rnacentral:rRNA from 1 species
GACGAACGCUGGCGGCGUGCUUAACACAUGCAAGUCGAACGCUGAAGCCCUUUCGGGGGUGGAUGAGUGGCGAACGGGUGAGUAACACGUGGGUAAUCUGCCCUGUACUUCGGGAUAAGCCUUGGAAACGGGGUCUAAUACCGGAUAGGACCUGUCCUCGCAUGGGGGUGGGUGGAAAGUUCCGGCGGUAUGGGAUGAGCCCGCGGCCUAUCAGCUUGUUGGUGGGGUAGUGGCCUACCAAGGCGACGACGGGUAGCCGGCCUGAGAGGGUGACCGGUCACACUGGGACUGAGACACGGCCCAGACUCCUACGGGAGGCAGCAGUGGGGAAUCUUGCGCAAUGGGCGAAAGCUUGACGCAGCAACGCCGCGUGGGGGAUGACGGCCUUCGGGUUGUAAACCUCUUUCGACAUCGACGAAGGGGCCCUGUUGUGGGGUUUUGACGGUAGGUGUAGAAGAAGCACCGGCUAACUACGUGCCAGCCGCCGUAACAC